GUUAUAUGGUCAAGCGAAUAAGCGCACACGGUGGAUGCCUUGGCGGUCAGAGGCGAUGAAGGACGUGGCAGCCUGCGAAAAGUAUCGGGGAGCUGGCAACAAGCUUUGAUCCGGUAAUGUCCGAAUGGGGAAACCCACCCGCUUGCGGGUAUCCUGCAGUGAAUACAUAGCUGCUGGAAGCGAACCUGGUGAACUGAAAUAUCUAAGUAACCAGAGGAAAAGAAAUCAACCGAGAUUCCGUAAGUAGCGACGAGCGAACGCGGACUAGCCCUUAAGCUGAUUUGGUUCUAGGAAAACGCUCUGGAAAGAGCGGCCAUAGAAGGUGAUAGCCCUGUAUCUGAAAGGGCCAUUUCAGUGAAGACGAGUAGGGCGGGGCACGUGAAACCCUGUCUGAACAUGGGGGGACCAUCCUCCAAGGCUAAAUACUACUGACCGACCGAUAGUGAACCAGUACCGUGAGGGAAAGGCGAAAAGAACCCCGGAGAGGGGAGUGAAAUAGAACCUGAAACCGUGUGCGUACAAGCAGUAGGAGCUCCGUAAGGAGUGACUGCGUACCUUUUGUAUAAUGGGUCAGCGACUUACUGUUCGUGGCAAGCUUAACCGUAUAGGGGAGGCGAAGGGAAACCGAGUCUGAUAAGGGCGCAUAGUCGCGGGCAGUAGACCCGAAACCGGGUGAUCUAGUCAUGCCCAGGGUGAAGGUGCGGUAACACGCACUGGAGGCCCGAACCCACUCCCGUUGCAAAGGUAGGGGAUGAGGUGUGAUUAGGAGUGAAAAGCUAAUCGAACCCGGAGAUAGCUGGUUCUCCUCGAAAGCUAUUUAGGUAGCGCCUCAUAUGUAUCCUCUCGGGGGUAGAGCACUGUUAUGGCUAGGGGGUCAUCGCGACUUACCAAACCAUUGCAAACUCCGAAUACCGAGACGGACUGUAUGGGAGACACACGGCGGGUGCUAACGUCCGUCGUGAAAAGGGAAACAACCCAGACCCACAGCUAAGGUCCCAAAUUUUGUGCUAAGUGGAAAACCAUGUGGAAAGGCACAGACAGCCAGGAGGUUGGCUUAGAAGCAGCCACCCUUUAAAGAAAGCGUAAUAGCUCACUGGUCGAGUCGGUCUGCGGGGAAGAUUUAACGGGGCUAAGCACAGAACCGAAGCUUGGGGUGCAUACUUUGUAUGCGCGGUAGAGGAGCGUUCCGUAAGCCGUUGAAGGUGGAUUGAGAAGUCCGCUGGAGGUAUCGGAAGUGCGAAUGCUGACAUGAGUAACGAUAAUGCGGGUGAAAAACCCGCACGCCGAAAGCCCAAGGUUUCCUUGCGCAACGUUAAUCGGCGCAGGGUGAGUCGGCCCCUAAGGCGAGGACGAAAGUCGUAGUCGAUGGGAAGCAGGUUAAUAUUCCUGCACCUCGCGUAAGUGCGAUGGAGGGACGGAGAAGGUUAGGUGUACCAGGCGUUGGUUGUCCUGGGGAAAGGCGGUAGGUUUGGAUCUUUGGCAAAUCCGGGAUCCUUUAAGACCGAGCACCGAGACGAGCCUUUAUGGCAAAGUCACUGAUACCACGCUUCCAGGAAAAGCUCCUAAGCUUCAGCUUACGCAGACCGUACCGUAAACCGACACAGGUGGGUAGGAUGAGAAUUCUCAGGCGCUUGAGAGAACUCGGGUGAAGGAACUAGGCAACAUGGCACCGUAACUUCGGGAGAAGGUGCACCCUUUUUGGUGGCUCGUGCGAGCUAUAGCUGAAGAGGGUCGCAGUAACCAGGCCGCUGCGACUGUUUAUCAAAAACACAGCACUCUGCAAACACGAAAGUGGACGUAUAGGGUGUGACGCCUGCCCGGUGCUGGAAGGUUAAUUGAUGGGGUCAGCCGCAAGGCGAAGCUCUUGAUCGAAGCCCCAGUAAACGGCGGCCGUAACUAUAACGGUCCUAAGGUAGCGAAAUUCCUUGUCGGGUAAGUUCCGACCUGCACGAAUGGCGUAACGACAGCGGCGCUGUCUCCACCCGAGACUCAGUGAAAUUGAAAUCGCUGUGAAGAUGCAGCGUUCCCGUGGCAAGACGGAAAGACCCCGUGAACCUUUACUAUAGCUUUACACUGAACGUUGAGUUCGUCUGUGUAGGAUAGGUGGGAGGCUAUGAAACCAUGGCGCUAGCUGUGGCGGAGCCAUCCUUGAAAUACCACCCUGUCGUGCUUGACGUUCUAACCUGGGCCCAUUAUCUGGGUCGGGGACCGUGUAUGGUGGGUAGUUUGACUGGGGCGGUCUCCUCCUAAAGAGUAACGGAGGAGCUCGAAGGUACGCUCAGCGCGGUCGGACAUCGCGCACUGUGUGCAAAGGCAUAAGCGUGCUUGACUGCAAGAUCGACGGAUCAAGCAGGUAGGAAACUAGGACUUAGUGAUCCGGUGGUUCUGUAUGGAAGGGCCAUCGCUCAACGGAUAAAAGGUACUCCGGGGAUAACAGGCUGAUACCGCCCAAGAGUUCAUAUCGACGGCGGUGUUUGGCACCUCGAUGUCGGCUCAUCACAUCCUGGGGCUGUAGUCGGUCCCAAGGGUAUGGCUGUUCGCCAUUUAAAGUGGUACGCGAGCUGGGUUCAGAACGUCGUGAGACAGUUCGGUCCCUAUCUGCCAUGGGCGUUGGAGAUUUGAGAGGGGCUGCUCCUAGUACGAGAGGACCGGAGUGGACGAACCUCUGGUGUUCCGGUUGUCACGCCAGUGGCAUUGCCGGGUAGCUAUGUUCGGAAGCGAUAACCGCUGAAAGCAUCUAAGCGGGAAGCGCGCCUCAAGAUGAGAUCUCCCGGGGCACAAGCCCCCUGAAGGAACCAUGUAGACUACGUGGUUGAUAGGUCAGGUGUGUAAGUACAGCAAUGUAUUGAGCUAACUGAUACUAAUGAUCCGUGCGGCUUGACCAUAUAACCU
rnacentral:rRNA from 1 species